rnacentral:lncRNA from 1 species
GGUUUCCAGGCUGCGUACGGAAACGAAUCCCCGGGGCUCUUUGACUGGGGGCGAGUCUUCGAAGUCGCCAGGCUCUGCCUAUCAACCGGGUCCUGAUUGGUGCAGGCUGUGGCGGUCCGCCCCUGACUCCGUCUAGCCCCGCUCCGCGAGAAGAGGCUGAACUGCCCCAUCUGCUUCUAAUUUCUUUCUUUCUUUCUUUCUUUCUUUUUUUCCCCUCUUUUCCUUUUCUUCUUUUAAAUAUACGUUUGGAAAUUUGCCGGGCGUGGUGGCGGGCGCCUGUAAUCCCAGCUACUCGGGAGGCUGAGGCAGGAGAAUCGCUUGAAUCCGGGAGACGGAGGUUGCAGUGAGCCGAGAACGCGCCACUACACUCCAGCCUGGACGACGAGAGUGAUACUCCGUCUCAGUCAAUCAAUCAAUCAAUCAAUCGUUUGAUUUUCGUUUUAUGCUUUUACUUCCAAAUUUAUAUUUAUUGCAAAAAAUGUGGAAUAUAACAAAGUGUAAAGGCCUUCUGUCUUGAGCUCGUAUUACUGCUGUUCACUGAUGUAUUGUAAAAGCGUAAAACCGGACGUGACCCAAAUGUCUAUCAAAGGAGACUGAUGAGAGAAAUAAACGGAUUUGUUCACACAACGGCUUCUACAGCAAAGAAACAGAAGGUAGCUCCAAGUGCUCUGAAAUGGAAAGGUAUGCAGGAUUUCCUGUUAGGUUAAAACAGAACGAAGCAAAAACCGAGGUUGCGCAAUGAUACAUAUAGAACAGUCUCAUAGUUGUAUACAUAGUUACACAGAGGAAACAAAGAUCUGGAAAGAUGUGUAGUUUGCACCUGUUACCAUUGGUUAGCUCUGGGGUGGACGGAGAAGGGAGAAGUUUUAAGAUUCUUUAUAUAAUACACUUAUUUAAUAUCUAUCUAUGUGCUAAGUUGUAUUACAUUUGUUGUUUUUUAAAGAGAUCCUUUUAAACAGAGAAGGGAGAACUCCCUCAAAUCCCAAUUGCACUACAAAGAGAAACCAACAUGUUGGUUAUUUUUAUAGCAUAUAAGUUUAUAUACCGUAUUAAUAAUGUAUAGCUAUAUAGCCUGCUUUUUCCACUUAGCACAUUUCAUAAUUUUUGUAAUAUUAAAUAUUCCUUAAAUAUAAUUGUUAAUGGUUGCAGACUAUUCAUGUAUGCUAUAAUUUAUUAAUCCUUAUUGAGAACAUUUAGGGUUUUCUUCCCAAUUUUUCACAUAUUUCAAGAUGAGAUAAAACUCUUAAAUAAUUAUAUUCCUGAUUAAUUAAAUUCCUAGAAAAAUUCGUGAGUUGAAGACUAUGAACAAAUAAAUUUAAGGCUUUUUUUUUUUUAAGAGAGGGAGUAUUGCUGUGUUGCCCAGGUUGGUCUCAAACUCCUGGGCUCACAUGAUCCUCCUGCUUCAGCCUCUGGGGUAGCUGGGACUACAGGCCACUGCACCAGACUUUAACACUCUUGGGCCAGGCACGGUGGCUCAUGCCUGUAAUCCCAGCACUUUGGGAGGCUGAGGUGGGCGGAUCACCUGAGGUCAGGAGUUUGAAACCAGCCUGACCAACAUGGGGAAACCCCGUCUCUACUAAAAGUACAAAAUUAGCCGGACGUGGUGGCACAUGCCUGUAAUCCCAGCUACUCGGGAGGCUGAGGCAGGAGAAUCGCUUGAACCCGGGAGGCAGAGGUUGCGGUGAGCCGAGAUCGCGCCAUUGCACUCCAGCCUGGGCAAUAAGAGCAAAACUCCAUCUCAAAACAAAACAAAACAAAACAAAAAACCCAAAAAACAAAAGACUCUUAAUGCUAAUUGUAAAACUUUUUUUUUUUUUUUGAGAUGGAGUCUCCCUCUGUCGCCCAGGCUGGAGUGCAGUGGGGCUAUCUCGGCUCACCACAACCUCCACCUCCCAGGUUCAAGUGAUUCUCCUGCCUCAGCCUCUCGAGUAGCUGGGACUACAGGCACGUGCCACUACGCCCGGCUAAUUUUUUGUAUUUUUAGUAGUGACAGGGUUUCACCGUGUUAGCCAGGAUGGUCUUCAUCUCCUGACCUCGUGAUCUGCCUGCCUCGGCCUCCCAAAGUGCUGGAAUUACAGGCGUGAGCCACCACGCCUGGCCGAAACUCUUGAAAGUUUGUUUCUGUGAACAUUAUUGAUGCCUAAGAUGGGCCUGUGCUAUCCUUGUGGGGGUGUCGGUGUGUGUGAGAACAGAGCUGAGUAAUGGCCAAAAUCUGGCUGCCAGGAUCAGACAGGUGACAAGAGAGGCAAAUAUAAAUAGCUCAGAUAAGCAAAGACAUCCAAAAAUACUCUGACCCAGACACUUCCGGGCACAAAACUCUUUCUGUCUUGCAUUGUCCUGGUUGUACUUGGACAUGCGAUGGGUCAGAAUUUGGUUUACUUAAUAUAUAUUAUUCAGUCUUCUGGGUUUGAAGAAUUUACUAAGAUUUUAAAAUCUCCAAUUUAUGAUUUCCCUUGGAAAACAGGAAGUUCUGGUAACACUGAGACUGCAUUCGAGGGUCCCACAAACCAGACUUGGUUUCUCACUUCCCGUAACAGUAACGAAUGGAAGACUUGAUGAUUUACAUUACCUGCCUGGCCCCUGUAGCAACUUGAGUUCAAAACUGUUGGACAGGGUCAUGAUUCCUUAACAUGGUAUUCAAAGCUUCAUGAUUGGCUGGGUGCGGUGGCUCACAGUUGUAAUCCCACCACUUUGGGAGGCCGAGAUGGGUGGACCACUUGAGGUCCAGGUUCGAGACCAGCCUGGCCAACAUGGUGAAACCCCGUCUCUACUAAAAAUACAAAAAAAUUAGCUGGGGUGGUGGCAGAUGCCUGUAGUCCCAGCUAUUCUGGAGGCUGAGGCAGGAGAAUUGCUUGAAUCUGGGAGGCGGAGGUGGAAGUGAGCUGAGAUUGUGCCACUGCACUCCAGCCUGGGUGACAGGGUGAGACUCUGUCUCAAAAAAAAAAAAGGAAAAAAAAAAAAGCUCCUUGAUAGUCUUGUGCUUUCCCCCUUUCAUCUUUGUUUCCUUCCACUCUUGCUCACCCUUGCUCACACACACACUUCCUCAAGGUAAAAGUGUAAGGCAGGCAGAAUGAGACUUAACAACUAGCAUUUCUUAUGUCAUUAUCCAGCCUUUUCUAACUAACACAUUUGCUUGUUCACUCAUUAACUUGAGGCAUUUAUUUUUCUUGAUAAGACCAGGCCAAAGUCAGCCAAUUGGAUCAAACCAAAUGGAAUGGAGUGUCCAGAAGUAGAAAUUUUGCUGCUACAGGGUGUGUGCAACUUCACAUACAGCUCUUGCCCCUUAUUUCCUGUGUCUUUCCUGCUUGCUCACUCUGCUCCAGCUAUACUGGUCACUUUGUUGUUCUUUUAUUUCUUAUUUUAGACAGGUUCUUGCUUUGUUGCCCAGGCUGGUGUGCAGUUGUGCAAUCAUAGUUCACUGUAACCUCAAACUUCUGGGCUCAGGUGAUACUCCUGCCUCAGCCUCUGGAGUAACUGGGACUACAUCUGAAUGCCAUCAAAUCCAGCUACUUAAAAAAAUUUUUUUUUUUUAGGCCAGGCACGGUGGCUUACGCCUGUAAUCCCAGCACUUUGGGAGGCCGAGGCGGGUGGAUCACUUGAGGUCGGGAGUUCAAGAACAGCCUGACCAACAUGAAGAAACCCCAUCUUCACUAAAAAUACAAAAUUAGCUGGGCGUGUUGGUGUAAUUCCAGCUACUUGGGAGGCUGAGGCAGGAUAAUCACUUGAACCUGGAAGGUGAGGUUGCGGUGAGCCGAGAUUGUGCCAUUGCACUCCCGCUUAGGCAACAAGACUGAAACUCCUCUCAAAAAAAAAAAGAAGAAAAAUUUAAAGAUUUUGAGCUGGGCGUGGUGGCUCACACCUGUCAUCCCAACACCUUGGGAGACUGAGGCAGGUGUUUCCGUUGAGCUCAGGAUUAGGUUUUGGCUUAAGGGAAUAUUGUGGAUGAUUUGAUCUUUUAUCAAAGUUUGAGAUCACACAAACUUUCUUCCUGUCAGCAAUAAGGCUGUUUUGGUUUCUUAUCAUUCGUGUAGCAUUAAAAAUGCUACUCCAAUAAAGGCUGGAGUGCAGCGGCAUGAUGACUGAACUCCUGAGCUCAAGGGAUCCUCCCGCCUCAGUCUCCCGAAGUACUGGCAUUACAGGCGUGAGCCACUGCACCUGGCCAGCUUCAGACUUUUCUUGUGCAGCCUCCUCACCUCUCUUAGCCUUCUUAGAAUUGAAGAGAUUUAGGGCUUUUCUCCAUAUUCGGUUUUGCCUUAAGGGAAUGUUGUGGCUUGCUUGAUCAUCUAUCCAGAUAACUCAAACUUUCUCCAUAUCAGCAAUAAGGUUGUUUUGCUUUCCUAUCAUUUGUAUGUUCACUGGAGUAGCAUUUUUAAUGUCCUUCAAGAACUUUUUCUUUGUAUUCACAACUUGACUGGUGCAAGAGGCCUAGCUUUUGGCCUAUUUCUGCUUUCUUUUUUUUUUUUUUUUUUUUUUUUUUGAGACGGAGUCUCGCUCUGUUGCCCAGGCUGGAGUGCAGUGACACAAUCUUGGCUCACUGCAACCUCCACCUCCCGGGUUCAAGCGAUUCUCCUGCCUCAGCCUCCCGAGUAGCUGGGACUACAGGCGCGUGCCACCAUGCGUGGCUAAUUUUUGUAUUUUUAAUAGAGACGGGGUUUCACCAUGUUAGCCAGGAUGGUCUCGAUCUCUUGACCUCGUGAUCCGUCCGCCUCAGCCUCCCUAAGUGCUGGGAUUACAGGCGUGAGCCACCACGCCCAGCUGCGGAAGAGAUUUUAAAGCUCUCCACAUAUUUCAGUGUGCCACCUGUGCUAAGAACUACAACUUUAUUAUUUUAUUUUAUUUUACUUGUUUUUGAGUUGGAGUCUGGCUCUGUCGCCCAAGCUGGAAUGCAGUGGUGCAAUCUCGGCUCACUGCAACCUCCGCCUCCUGGGUUCAAGUGAUUCUCUUGCCUCAGUCUCCCAAGUAGCUGGACAGGUGUGCGCCACCAUGCCUGACUAAUUUUUGUAUUUUUAGUAGAGACGGGGUUUCACCACAUUGGCUAGGUUGGUCUCAAACUCCUGACCUCAGGUGAUCCGCCUGCCUCGGUCUCCCAAAGUGCUGGUAUUACACAUGUGAGGCAUUGCGCCCGGCCUGAGAACUACAACUUUAGACUUACUGUUGUGAAAAUCUCAAACUAGCCUCUAUUGCAAACAUGUGUUUGCAUCAUAUAGGCAUGCAUAGACAUGCUGACGGGGUUUAUGUUACAGCCAAAAAGCUAAUGCCAACACCAACCGCUGGCACUUCUAUAUUUACUUCCAGGAGCCCUUGCCUUUACCACCCAUACCCCGCUACCCAUGUACCUCCCACUCCCCCAGAUUGAGGAGGGAGCUAGCUAAUAGGCAACUGAAGCACUGGAUUGGAACUGCAACUCAAGGUUGUGGGAGCAAGAGUUCUGAAGUGAAGACCUUGAUCAGCACAAACCUGAUCAUGUGACCUUGUGAAAGUUACUUCACAAUUCCCUGCUUCGGUUACUAUGGUUAUAAAAUUAAACUAAUGGAAUGGAUCUAUUUGCUAAAAAUAUGAGAUUUAAUGAGCAAAUAAUUUUAAAGUGCUCCAUUAAUUCUGCGAUUGUUAAAUAACUUCACUGCAUAAAAUUCUAUAGAACUCUUUCAAAUAUAUAAAAAAAAGCACCCCAAUGAUUCUUUUUUUUUUUGGAAACAGGGUCUCACUCUGUUGCCUAGGCUGGAGUACAGUGCCAUGAUCACAGCUCACUUCAACCUCAGCCUCCCAGGUAGCUGGGACUGCAGGCCUGUACCGCCAUUAUUAUUAUUAUUAUUAUUAUUUUGUAUUUUCUGCAGAAAUGGGGUUUGGUCAUGUUACCCAGGCUGGUCUCAAGCUCCUGGGAUCAAGUGAUCCGUCCGCCUUUGCCUCCCAAAGUGCUGGGAUUACAGCGGGGAGCCACUGCGCCCAGCCCAGCCAGCCCGAUUCUGACCCAGAGGGUUUAGAAGUUGCUUAGACAGAUCUGCUCCUGUAAGUUCACAGAACUCCUCUGGCUACUGCUGUCCCUUUUUUUCCUGAGUCUUGUUUGCUGAAAUCUUCUUGAGAUUCUGUGAGACAAUAGCCCCUAUUUCUUCCAGUAAAUUACUCUUUUUCUUCCCCUUUAGACAGCCAGUGCUGGUUUCUGUUACAUGUAAACAAAAAGGAUUUUAUUUUUUAUUUUUUUAGGCUAGUCAAGUGAAGCAGUGGGAGGCGGAGGACAAAAAGAAUUUUGACUAAGGCAAUAAAUAUAUUAUACAAGUGAAGUAUUUCCCAAACUGUAUUCUGUGGAAUGCUGUGUUCUCAAAUGUUAACAAGUUCCAUACAAGAACCAUUUAUUUCUAAAUUCUAAAGUCACAUUCAUAUUAUGAAUUAUAUUAAACAUAUAUAGUUACUUUUAUUAUACCUAAUAAUCUGUCUUUAUAAAAGUGUUUACCCAAAAAUGCCAGCAGAUUCCAUGAGAAACUACCUGUACUACAAUGAUCGUCAAACUUUGGUGCAUACAUGACAGAAUCAACCGGAGGGCUUGUUAAAGGAUUGCUGAGUCAAACCCCUCGUUUCAGCAGGUUUGUGGUGGGGCCUGAGAAUUUACAUUUCUUUUUUUUUUUUUUUUAGACGGAGUCUUGCUCUGUUGCCCAGACUGGAGUGCAGUGGUGCGAUCUUGGCUCACUGCAACCUCCGCCUCCCGGUUCAAGCGAUUCUUCUGCCUCAGCCUCCCGAGUAGCUGGGACUACAGGUGCCCGCCACCAUGCUCAGCUAAUUUUUGGAUUUUUAGUAGAGACGGGGUUUUACCAUAUUGGCCAGGCUGGUCUCGAACUCCUGACCUUGUGACCCACCCACCUCGGCCUCCCAAAUUGCUGGGAUUACAGGCAAGAGCCACCGCGCCCUGCCGAGAAUUUGCAUUUCUAACAAGUUCCCAGGUGAUGCUGACACUGCUGGCUCAUGGAACCACUGCUGUAGUAUUUUCCAAAUUAUCCUGAUUCUAAGAACCACCUAUGACCUGUGCUGUUUUUUCAGUGGUUACUGGCUCAUGUCACAUAAAUUCUUUUAGGAUUCAAACAUGUUUGUGAUAUUACUCAGUAUUUACAUCUUGCUUUUACUGCAGCAUGAUAGAAAAAUUAACCACAGGUAUAUCAUAACAAAAAGACCAUGAGUUACCAUUUUCACAAAGUUCAGAUAUAUUUAAAUUAGCCUAUUUAAUCUUUUUUUGGUUGUUGUUGAGAUGGAGUCUCACUCUGUCUCUCAGGCUGGAGUACAGUGGCACAAUCUCAGCUCACUGCAACCUCUGCCUCCCAGGUUCAAGUAAUUCUCCUGCCUCAGCCUCCCGAGUAGCGGGGAUUACAGGUGCCCAACACCACACAUGGCUAAUUUUUGUAUUUUUAGUAGAGAUGGGGUUUUGCCAUGUUAGCCAGGCUGGUCUUGAACUCCUGACCUCAGAUGAUCCGCCUGCCUCGGCCUCUCAAAGUGCUGGGAUUACAGGCAUGAGCCAUCGCACCCAGCCUAUGGUACACCUUUACUGAGGAAACAAUUCAGGAACAUCACUCUUAGUAAGGCAAUUGUUGAUUAUAAGUCAAAAAAACACCAUCAUGUACAAAUUCAGGGGAUUUUGUAUACCUUGUUUUUUUGGUUACAAAUAUGCAAAAUUAAAGAUGUUUGCUAAUACUUGUUUCCAAUUUUUAAACUUUUCAAGUGUUGCACUGUUAAUAAUGUUAAAAUAAAAGGCAUUUGACUUAGUAUGAUUGUUUCUUGAACUUCAUCUUUUCAGGUUAUUUUGUUGCUGGCCACUUGCAAGAUUUAUAGGCACUACUGAGGCCUCAGUGCUGAGAUUCAGCAACAUUAUAAUCAUUAUAAUUCAAAGUUUAGUUUUUUGUUUUUUGUUUUUUUUUUUAAAGAGAUGGGGUCAAAAUGCUGCCCAGGCAUGUCUGGAACUCCUGGGCUCAAGCAAUCGUCUUGCCUCAGACUGCCAAGUAGCUGAACUGUAGGCACAUACCACACCUGGCUGUGUUCAGUUUCAUGGGCAAGUCAAACUAUCUAGUGUUUUGUCUGUACAGACAAGGUCAAUGCGACUUCUCCAAGCUUUUAUCACUCAAUGGUCCUACAGGCCCUUGUGAGAUAGAUAGGGUCUUAGAACAAAUAACUCAUUACAAUCCUGGGCAAAUACUCUACUGAACUGGUGAACUGAAAAUGUUUUGCUAAUGGCCCAAAUGUCACCUCAAAUUUUUUUGCCUAGAGGAGUUACACAACUAGUUUGUAUAAUAAUUUAGUUAUACUAGGCCCUCAAGUCUAAUUUGAAACAAAAUACUUGGCAAAGCAAAAUAUAACCUAAGAAAUAAUUCUGAUUUUCUGCUAAUAACAGACUUGGUUUAGUAGUCAAAAAACCUGGACACAAGUCUCACUGCCAAGGUGCUGAGUGACUGUAUAAAUCACAUGAUUUCUAAUUCCAGUUCUCUCAAUCUACAAAAUUAGAACAAGGAUGACUAGCUCAUAUUAAGUAUCCUCUAAACCAUUUUAAAAAUGCAAAAUGCUGUUUUAACUGAUGGUACUUUCAAUUGUAUCUUUUUUUUUUUUUUUUUUGAGACAGAGUCUCAUUCUGUCACCCAGACUGGAGUGCAGUGGCACAGUCUCGGCUCACUGCAACCUACACCUCCCAGGUUCAAGUGGUUUUCCUGCCUCAGCCUCCUGAGUAGCUGGGACUACAGGUGCGUGCCACCACACCUGGCUAAUUUUUGUAUUUUUAAUAGAGAUGGGGUUUUACUGUUGUCCAGGCUGGUCUUGAACUCCUGACCUCAGGUGAUCCACCCACCUUGGCCUUCCAAAGUGCUGGGAUUACAGGCAUGAGCCACCGCACCUGGCCUAAUUGUAUCUUUUGAAGCAAUGACUCCUUCGGAUCUCCAGGAUCCUCCUGAUCUUUAUGCUUCAGAUUGGGAUUUAUCCUUCAGGAAGCUUUCUCUGAACACCUCUAAUUAGACGGGGAGGGGUACUUUGUCUGUGUCACACCUAUCCCCCCAACUCGUGUUGUUUCAUAGCACUUAUCACACUGUGCAUUGUCUGUGGGUUCCUGGAUGCAGGGACGCCUCUAAUCCAUUUUAGCAGUCCAUUGGUGUCUGUCUAUCUCUUCCAGAUAGAAGAAGGCAUCAAACACAGUUCACUGAUGACAAUUUAUUAUAAUCUGUUAGUA